rnacentral:rRNA from 1 species
UACGUAGGGUGCGAGCGUUAAUCGGAAUUACUGGGCGUAAAGCGUGCGCAGGCGGUUUCUUAAGUCAGAUGUGAAAGCCCCGGGCUUAACCUGGGAACUGCGUUUGAAACUGGGAGACUUGAGUGUGGCAGAGGGGGGUGGAAUUCCACGUGUAGCAGAGAAAUGCGUAGAUAUGUGGAGGAACACCGAUGGCGAAGGCAGCCCCCUGGGUCAACACUGACGCUCAUGCACGAAAGCGUGGGGAGCAAACAGG